rnacentral:rRNA from 1 species
GCAUAUCACUGAGCGCAGGAGAAGAAACCAACCAGGAUUUCCCUAGUAACGGCGAGCGAACCGGAAAGAGCCCAGCUUGAAAAUCGUGGCGCCCCGGCGCCUCGAAUUGUAGUCUGGAGAAGGUCCCUCUGCGGCGCGCCGGACCCAAGUUCCCUGGAAAGGGACGCCAUCGAGGGUGAGAGCCCCGCUGAUUCCGGAGUGCGCCGCUCCACGAGGACCUGUCUGCGAGUCGGGCUGUUUGGGAAUGCAGCCCUAAGCGGGUGGUAAAUUCCAUCCAAGGCUAAAUAUUGGCAAGAGACCGAUAGCGAACAAGUACCGCGAGGGAAAGAUGAAAAGGACUUUGAAAAGAGAGUUAAAAAGUGCUUGAAAUUGCUGGGAGGGAAGCGAAUGGAAGCUGCGGGUGCGCCCCGGUUGGAUGUGGAACGGCCGUCAAAGGCUGGUCCGCCGCUCAACGCGGGGCGCUGGUCAGCGUGGGCCAUCGCGGCGGGACAAGAGCGGGGAUUCGUUUCCCGCCGAUGCCGCUGUGGUGGCCGAGGAACGAAGCGCGCGCCCUUCAUCGGGCGUGGGACUCGUCCCAACUGCGCGCUCGGGACGCUGGCGUAUUGAGCUCUUCAUCCGACCCGUCUUGAAACACGGACCAAGGAGUCUAACAUGUAUGCGAGCCGGUGGGCGGCAAACCCAUUGAGGCGCAAGUAACCUGACAGGUGGGACCCCGACCGUCAAAAGGGAGGGAGCACCAUCGACCGACCGUGAUCUUCUGUGAAGGGUUC